rnacentral:lncRNA from 1 species
AAUCAAUCUGCAUUACGUCACCAGCCUGCCUCCCAGUCUUGCCCUUAGUUUCUUCAUUGGAGGAAACUUAAAAAAAAAAAAAAAAGAAGAAGAAGAAGAGGAAGGCGAAAGAAAGAAAGAAACCGAGGCCAGGGUUUCUAGACAGUGUCUUAGAGACCAGAAGCUAACUAAAAAAAAAAAAAAAAAAUCUUGGAUUCCUGAGUACGGAAUUUCGAGACUAGGAACCCGAGGAGAUACUCAGGAGACUCAGGUGAACAGAAAAAAGGGGUUUCGUAGAGGUGAGAGGAAGGGGCUCUGCACCUCUAAAGGUAACCCUUUUCCGCCGAUUUCCCGUGUUUCCCGAUGAUCUCACGUUGGUGCCAUCGUUUCACUGUUAUACUCUGGAACAGUCAUACUCUGGAACAGCACGAGGAGCCAAAUGCACUAUGAAGCCCAGCUAGAGAGGAUCCAAGUCGGGCGUAGCAUUAGCGGGCAAAUCCUCACGCAUUUGUUAACUGUGUUUGCUAGUACUCACGUUCCGUUCUGCAUCCCUUUCCCUGCAGUGUGGACACGCCAGAAAUUCAGGUGGAAACAGUGACUUGAGGCCGGCGCAUUCCUGUUCGUGACAAAACCACAGGCACAGACGCUGGUGUGCUCUACAUCUUUAGAACACAAACGUGCUGGAUCAGGCUUGGCACAUGACGCAAAGUGGGGGCGAGUCUGGAAUAUGAAUAAAUAAGAGCCUCCAUACUGUCUCUUUUUAAAUUUUUAUUUUUAUUUUAUGUGCAUUGGCGGGUUUGCCUGCAUGUAUGUCUGUGUGAGGAUGUCGUAUCCCAGGAAAUGUAGUGUACCCCAGGAAAUGUAGUUGCAAACAGUUGUAAGCUGCCAUGUGGUUGCUGGGAAUUGAACCCAGGUCCUCUGGAAGAACAGCCAGUGCUCCUAAUCACUGAGCCAUCAUCUCUCCAGCCCGGAGGCUCAAUACUUUCACUCCCAGUCAAACUGCAUGGGUUUGAACUUUCUGGCUCACCAUCUGCACCGGCCAGGUCACAAAUGGAGGGCAGAGCAAUGGUACUGAGUUAUGAGUUGGCAAGUACCUCACUAUGUGUGUCUCAAAUUACAAGUAUAAUUAGAUUUUUGUUCACCUUUGACUGGCCUUUCUGAACAAUAAUUUCCACUUCUUCAUAUUAGUGAUAAAUGAUCCCACCCUUUGGGCUUGUUGUGAAUAUAUAUGAAAGUAUGCUGUAAAUGAUUACAUGUUAUACGUGCUAAUUACUGUGCUAGAAACUGAACUUGGAGCAUAGAGUUUUGUCAGGUUAUAGGUUUUUUUCUCCCCUAUAACCCACUCACCCCAUAACUACUUGGAUCUUUUAUGGUUAUAGUGAGUAGCUGACUAAGGGAAGCCUUUAGAAAUGUGUAGAGAGACAGGUAACUCAGCCUUAUCUUUAAUGGCUGAGAUAUUUCUCCAGCACAUGUAGGCCUCUGUGGUGACAGACCAAGUAAUUGUAUAUGGAUUUCUGUGGUUUUCUUUUUAAAAGAUUUAUUUAUUUAUUUAUUUAUUUAUUUAUUAUAUGUAAGUAUAC